UGUAGUGCCUAACGCAUGCAAGUCGAGCGGCAGCACAGAGGAGCUUGCUCCUUGGGUGGCGAGUGGCGGACGGGUGAGGAAUACAUCGGAAUCUACUCUGUCGUGGGGGAUAACGUAGGGAAACUUACGCUAAUACCGCAUACGACCUACGGGUGAAAGCAGGGGAUCUUCGGACCUUGCGCGAUUGAAUGAGCCGAUGUCGGAUUAGCUAGUUGGCGGGGUAAAGGCCCACCAAGGCGACGAUCCGUAGCUGGUCUGAGAGGAUGAUCAGCCACACUGGAACUGAGACACGGUCCAGACUCCUACGGGAGGCAGCAGUGGGGAAUAUUUGGACAAUGGGCGCAAGCCUGAUCCAGCCAUACCGCGUGGGUGAAGAAGGCCUUCGGGUUGUAAAGCCCUUUUGUUGGGAAAGAAAUCCAGCUGGCUAAUACCCGGUUGGGAUGACGGUACCCAAAGAAUAAGCACCGGCUAACUUCGUGCCAGCAGCCGCGGUAAUACGAAGGGUGCAAGCGUUACUCGGAAUUACUGGGCGUAAAGCGUGCGUAGGUGGUCGUAUUAAGUCCGUUGUGAAAGCCCUGGGCUCAACCUGGGAACUGCGGUGGAUACUGGGCGACUAGAAUGUGGUAGAGGGUAGCGGAAUUCCUGGUGUAGCAGUGACAUGCGUAGGAGAUCAGGAGGAACAUCCAUGGCGAAGGCAGCUACCUGGACCAACAUUGACACACUGAGGCACGAAAGCGUGGGGAGGCAAACGGGGAUUU
rnacentral:rRNA from 1 species